GAUGAACGCUAGCUACAGGCCUAACACAUGCAAGUCGAGGGACCGGCGCACGGGUGAGUAACGCGUAUCCAACCUUCCCAUUACUGUGGGAUAACCUGCCGAAAGGCAGACCAAUACCGCAUAGUAAUGGAUGGGGAUGCGUUUGAUUAGCUUGUUGGCGGGGUAACGGCCCACCAAGGCGACGAUCAGUAGGGGUUCUGAGAGUAAGGUACCCGGGAAUGGAGCUAAGGCCCAGACCAAACUCGUACGGGAGACAGGGGUAGGGGAUAUUAGUCGAUAGACGUAGAUCUGGACAAGCCGAGUGGCGUACGAAGUGACUGCCUAGUAAUUGUAUACUGCUUUUGUAUAGGGAUAGGUACCAUACGAAUAAGGACCGGCUAAUUCCGUGCCAGCAGCCGCGGUAAUUC
rnacentral:rRNA from 1 species